UACGUAGGGUGCAAGCGUUAAUCGGAAUUACUGGGCGUAAAGCGUGCGCAGGCGGUUAUGUAAGACAGUUGUGAAAUCCCGGGCUCAACCUGGGAACUGCAUCUGUGACUGCAUAGCUAGAGUACGGUAGAGGGGGAUGGAAUUCCGCGUGUAGCAGUGAAAUGCGUAGAUAUGCGGAGGAACACCGAUGGCGAAGGCAAUCCCCUGGACCUGUACUGACGCUCAUGCACGAAAAGGCGUGGGGAGCAAACAGG
rnacentral:rRNA from 1 species